CAAUGGGACUUCAGGCUCUCUGUGCACAGCCCGCCCCCCCCCCCGCGAGGUGGGCGGGGCGGCGGGGGGAGGCCUUGGUCGCACGGCCGGCUUACUUGCAUGCAAUACUGGAAGGGACCCAAGUCGUGCUUCCCCUUGCAGGGCGCCACCUCACAAAGCCCGGUUCCUCCAAGCCGGGCGGCGGGGGGGAGGGUAACUGACGCUGAAAUGUAUUGUUUGCCCUGUACUAGUUAACAGCACAUACAAAAGGCUGCCCUCCCGCAAACACCAGGAGACGAAGGGGCUACCCUCUCCCCCAAACCAAACCACACACGCGGCUCGCUCGCUCCACCGUGACUUUCUCUGUCUCCGGGUAACUCGGGGCGACUCACUUCCCCGACGACGGCGGCCGGCCGGCCACACAGGUGGACCGCAGCCGGAGGGCGCACCCAGCCCCUGUGACUCACCGCAGCUCCCAGGCUCCACGCGGAUACUGUCGGUUUGCUGCUGCUGUUGUUGUCGGCGGGCGCAACCGCCUCGGAUACUACGAUCAUCAUUGCCCGGCUCCUGAGCUUGUUCCGGUGGUGGCGGCGGCUCCCCCUGGACGCCUGGGCCCUCGCCGCAGCUGGCAGUCGUCUCCACUGGCACCACCGUGAAGUUGAGGAAACAGUAUGGGGGAUUGCACACAACCCUUCCCCCCCACCCUAAAGUCCAACUUCUUUGGGGCAGCAAACUGAGGAAAUUUGAACAAAACCGUCAAGACUAGAAGGAAUGUCACAUCAAUGCCUCAUCAUACCAGGGCAUCAACAUUAGCUGCUGAACCAUAUGCGACAUUACACUGCACUGGAUCAAGAAACAGAACUAUUUAUAUUUUAAAAGCAGUGUAAGAAGAAAUAAAAUAAAUACAUUUGUACCUGUUA